rnacentral:rRNA from 1 species
UACAGAGGUCCCAAGCGUUGUUCGGAUUCACUGGGCGUAAAGGGUGCGUAGGCGGUCGGGUAAGUCUGAUGUGAAAUCUCACAGCUUAACUGUGAAACUGCAUUGGAUACUAUCCGGCUCGAGGAAUGGAGGGGAGACUGGAAUACUUGGUGUAGCAGUGAAAUGCGUAGAUAUCAAGUGGAACACCAGUGGCGAAGGCGCCUUGCUGGCCGACUUCUGACGCUGAGGCGCGAAAGCGUGGGGAGCAAACAGG